UUAGAGUUUGAUCCUGGCUCAGGACGAACGCUGGCGGCGUGCUUAACACAUGCAAGUCGAACGGAAAGGCCCUUCGGGGUACUCGAGUGGCGAACGGGUGAGUAACACGUGGGUGAUCUGCCCUGCACUUUGGGAUAAGCCUGGGAAACUGGGUCUAAUACCGAAUAUGACCACGCGCUUCAUGGUGUGUGGUGGAAAGCUUUUGCGGUGUGGGAUGGGCCCGCGGCCUAUCAGCUUGUUGGUGGGGUAAUGGCCUACCAAGGCGACGACGGGUAGCCGGCCUGAGAGGGUGACCGGCCACACUGGGACUGAGAUACGGCCCAGACUCCUACGGGAGGCAGCAGUGGGGAAUAUUGCACAAUGGGCGCAAGCCUGAUGCAGCGACGCCGCGUGAGGGAUGACGGCCUUCGGGUUGUAAACCUCUUUCAAUAGGGACGAAGCGCAAGUGACGGUACCUAUA
rnacentral:rRNA from 1 species